rnacentral:lncRNA from 1 species
UGCCUGCGCCGCGCCCGCCCCGCGGGGAGGGCCGCGCACCUGCCCCGGGCACCGCGCCCGCCCGGCCCGGCCCGCGCUGCUGCCCCUGCUGCCGCUGCUGCCCCGCCCGGCCCCGGCCGCUCGGCUUUCUGCGGCCGCUGCUGGCUCCGAGGUUCUGCUGUGUACAUAUGAUUUUUAAUUUCAAGAUAUUUUUCUUCUUUCGUUUUGCCUCUGGAUAAACACCGCCAAAGAAGGAGGGGCAAGGAGAGAGAGCCAGGGAAAGAGUCAGGGGUUUGUUCACCACUAACAGUGGCAGCUUGGCUAACUGGAGCUGCAGCUGACUGUGCAAAGUCCUUCCACAGCUUCUCUGCUACACCCUGAGCAGCAGGGUGAGGCCGUAUUCUCAAGCAAGGUGAAGAAUUGGGAGAUGUGUAAAACAAAGUCAUUGCCCUUUGGUGAAGGGUGAGCGGCAUGGAAAGAAAAAAAAUAAGAAAACAUGAGCAAAGUAUGGAGAAACCCGAGGAGAGCAUCUCUGGAUUGCAACUGAAGGCUCCAUGGGCGUUUCAGGAACACAAGUUAUGCAUAUUUACCUGAAGAG